rnacentral:rRNA from 1 species
GAUCCUGGCUCAGGAUGAACGCUAGCUACAGGCUUAACACAUGCAAGUCGAGGGGAAACGAUAUUGGAAGCUUGCUUCCGAUAGGCGUCGACCGGCGCACGGGUGAGUAACGCGUAUCCAACCUGCCCAUCACUUGGGGAUAACCUUGCGAAAGUAAGACUAAUACCCAAUGACGUCUCUAGAAGACAUCUGAAGGAGAUUAAAGAUUUAUCGGUGAUGGAUGGGGAUGCGUCUGAUUAGCUUGUUGGCGGGGUAACGGCCCACCAAGGCGACGAUCAGUAGGGGUUCUGAGAGGAAGGUCCCCCACAUUGGAACUGAGACACGGUCCAAACUCCUACGGGAGGCAGCAGUGAGGAAUAUUGGUCAAUGGGCGAGAGCCUGAACCAGCCAAGUAGCGUGCAGGAUGACGGCCCUAUGGGUUGUAAACUGCUUUUAUAAGGGAAUAAAGUGGGAGUCGUGACUCUUUUUGCAUGUACCUUAUGAAUAAGGACCGGCUAAUUCCGUG